CUAUAGGAAACACUUCUUGUGCACAAUGACUUGGUGAAGAAAGGUGGUCUAAAUGACCUAAUCAUGGAACUUCAGAUAAAAAGAAAACUUUGAUGUGGAACUAUUAAGUCACUUUUUACAAAUGAGGGGAAACAUGGUGGCGAGGUUACCGUGGAGGCUGUUCAAAUGACUGCAAACCUUGUCAAAACUCAUGAUUGCCAGUUGCAUCCUGAUUCUAUAGAGGUUUUAUUAUCCCUAUCUUUUGAUGAAGACCUUGGGAAGCCUGAACCUUCAGAUACAGAUAAUAAAACCAACUCCAAAAAAUCUAAGACAAAGAACUUUAAGGAGUUGAAUCAUGCCUCAGAGAAU